rnacentral:lncRNA from 1 species
AUGGACCCUGGCCUCCUCUGGCCCCCAAGGAGUCCUGCUCGCUGCUGGCUCUGGUGGAAGCGCUGCAGACCCACAGCCCGGUCCUGCGCCCGCAGAGGCUGCUACCCUUGGCAGUGUUUGCUUCCAACAGGCCCCGCCGCCGGGAGCCAGCCCCUCUCUGACGCCCUAAGCUCCACUGCAGGGGUCUGGAGCCAGGCAACCUCCAUCGGGUCUCAGUUUUGUCAUCGGAAAGCCCGCUCCCGCUGGCUGGGGUACCAUCUGCUAAGCGUCUCCCGGCCAUGCCCAAGGGAGGAGGUUGCAGCCCGAGGGAGGGGUCUCGGAGCAUUCCCGACCCACCCGGGCAGGAGCUGCCGCUGCCGCCGCGGAGCGGAGGGACCGGGAGCCCGCGAGGCCGGGGAAGGGCGGGCCAGGAGAGGGGUCACCCGCCCGCCUGGGUGCGGUCCGCGCGGCGCGGGGCGGCGGCCACCGGCACCCCGACCCCGGACGCACCCCCCACCCUCCAGCCUGCCGCGCUCACCUGCCGCGCGCUCCCGCUCCGCCGCCGCCAGAGUGGCAGCCCCAGUGGCCGCGGGCCGGCCCGGUUCUCACCGCGGGCGGGGAAGGAGGAGCGGCCGCAGGCGCCCCCCGCUGGCCGCGUGUCCCAGGCCCCGGGCGCAGGGGCGGGAUCCGGGGCGGAGGACUGGGGGGCGCCCGGGAGACCGCGUCCCCGCUGCAGGCGCAGCCGCCCCCGCCCCAGCUACCCCAGAACCGCGGGAAACCUCCAUCGCGAGGGAGCUGGCGAGCUGGGGUCGCGGCAGGAAGGAAAGGAGUCCCAGCAGGACCUUCUCCAGGUUACGCUGAUGCUGCAGGUCCUUGGCAGACUGGGUGGCGAGGCUCUGAGGCACUGGAGUCCAAAUGAGGCUGGAGUCCCACUCUCAAGAGAUUCUGGUCCUUGGGUGAGGUCUGGGAAUAUGCAUUAUUUUUAAAACCCAGGUGAGUUUAAUUUGUGACAAGGAUGGCACUUCAAAUCAGAAAGGAAAAGGAAUGGCUCCUUUAAAAAAAAAAAAAAAAAAAAAAAGAACCACAGCUGGGCUGGGCAUUGUGGCUUAUAAUCCCAGCAUUUUGGGAGGCCGAGGCAGGUGGAUCACCUGAGGUCAGGAGUUUGAGACCAGACUGGCCAACAUGGUGAAACCCCAUCUCUACCAAAAAUAUAAAAAUUAUCUGGGUGUGGUGACAGGCACCUGAAUCACAGCUACUCAGGAGGCUGAGGCAGGAUAAGUGCUUGAAUCUGGGAGGUGGAUGUUGCAGUGAGCUGAGAUCGCACCACUGCACUUCAGCCUGGGUGACCGAGUGAAACUCCAUCUCAAAAAAGAAAGAAAGAAAGAAAACAAAGCUGGUGGCACGUGGCUGUGUUGCCAGCUACUCGGGAGGCUGAGGCAGGAGGAUUGCUUGAGCCCAGGAGGUGGAGGCUGCAGUGAGUGGUGAUUGCACCACCGCACUCUAGCCUGGGCAACAGAGGGAGACAUGGGCACACACAACCACAUCUGACUGGUGUGUGGAAUAGUGCUAUGACUUCCCAGCCCGUCAUCUGUGGGUCUUCUUCACACAAAUCUAUGAGCAAGUCUCCUGACAGCAGACAGGAAAACAGAGCUGGAGAAGGUGAAUAUACACCAUGCCUGCAUCACUCCUCCCAUGAGGACCGUCGGGCCAUCUCCAUCAUCCCCAUCGUCCCCAUUGCUACUGUGGACCUGUCAGUGGGAUCAUCCCAUUCGAUACUCAGUCCUCAAUAGAGAGUUCUCAAACAGUAGCCAGCAACAGAGUCACCCAGAGGUCUGGUGGAGGCACACGUGGCUGGGCUCUGCUUAAUUUUGGAUUCAGUCUAUGUUACCCAGGCUGAUCUUGAACUCCCAAGCACAAGUGAUCCUCUUGCUUCAGCCUCAUGCUGGGAUUAGAGCAUGUGCCACUGCACCAAGCUCAAACCAGCAGUGGCAUGAGCUUGUAGUCCUACCUAUUGGGAGGCCAAGGCAGGAGGAUCCCUUGAGUUCAGGAGUUUGAGGCCAGACUGGGAAACAUAACAAGACCCUCUCUUUUUUAAAAAACAAAAAGACUGAUAGAGGAGAGAUCUUUCUGUUUGAAAACAAAACUCAUUAAGAGAAAGCAUGUUCGUAAUUUUGGAGUGGAGAAGCAUGCAUGGGAAAUUGAAUGCACAUGGAAAGGCUAUUAUUGAAAGUUGCAUGUCUGCCAGAAACGGUGGCUCACGCCUGUAAUCCCAGCACUUUGGGAGGCUGAGGCAGGUGGAUCACGAGGUCAAGAGAUCGAGACCAUCCUGGCCAACAUGGUGAAACCCUGUCUCUACUUUAAAAAAAAAAAAUUAGCUGGGUGUGGUGGUGCAUGCCUGUAGUCCCAGCUACUUGGGAGGCUGAGGCAGGAGCAUUGCUUGAACCCGGGAGGCAGAGGUUGCAGUGAGCCAAGCUCACGCCACUGCACUCCAGUCUGGCCCCUGGCAACAGAGCGAGACUGUCUCAAGGAAAAAAAAAAAAAAAGAAAGUUGCAUGUCUCUGUCCAGAUAAGGAAGUUUCCAGAUGUCCACAUCUAAUGUGUUUGUGAUUUUAAUUAUUUAGUUUUUGAGACAGAGUCUUCCUCUGUCUCCCAGGGUGGAGUGCAGUGGUUCAAUCUUGGCUCACUACAACCUCUA